GUUCACCACUCCUUGUCGAACAAAUGGAUACGAUAACAGGUUUUCAAGCGACGCAUUCACUGCCUCCUGUAACAGUUGGAAAGAAAGCAGUGUAUAAAUGAUUAAUUCUCCACAAUUCUGCAAGAUUUAUGUUUGCCAUUGUAAGCCGAUUUUCACCCAGUCUUCGAUGAAAUCGCUAAACAACUCAAGCAAAUGAUUCUAUUAGUCACCAAAUUAUACAAGACAUGAGCCCCUUGAUUCCACCGCAGGCGCUGUGCCCCAUCACUACUAUCUCUUGUACCUGACAGCAUACUCUAUAGCAGAGCCUGCUCCGGAAUAUUGGGUCUGAAGCAGCAGAAACAGAGUUACAUAGACUGUCAAAGCAGAAGUUUACGAUUUAAUGAAACUGGUAUUUAUUUGUAAGACCUUGUCAUAUGGAGGGACC